rnacentral:rRNA from 1 species
GUUGUAUGGUUAAGUGACUAAGCGURCACGGUGGAUGCCUUGGCAGUCAGAGGCGAUGAAGGACGUAGUAACUUGCGAUAAGCGUAGAUGAGGCAGUAACAGCCACUUGAGUCUACGAUUUCCGAAUG